rnacentral:rRNA from 1 species
GUGCAAGCCGCCGCGGUAACACGGAGGGAGCAAACGUUGUUCGGAAUUACUGGGCGUAAAGGGCGUGUAGGCGGUUUUCUAAGUCGGGGGUGAAAUCCAGUGGCUCAACCACUGGCCUGCCUUCGAAACUGGGAAACUUGAGGCCGUGAGAGGAAAGCGGAAUUCCUGGUGUAUCGGUGAAAUGAGUUGAUAUCAGGAGGAACACCAGUGGCGAAGGCGGCUUUCUGGCGCGGUUCUGACGCUGAGGCGCGAAAGCAUGGGGAGCAAACGGGAUUAGAAACCCCCGUAGUCC